rnacentral:rRNA from 1 species
GCUUACGGCCAUACCCGCCUGAAUGCGCCCGAUCUUUUCAGAUCUCGGAAGCUAAGCAGGGUCGGGCCUGGUUAGUACUUGGAUGGGAGACUGCAUGGGAAUACCAGGUGCUGUAAGCA